rnacentral:tRNA from 1 species
GUCCUCGUAGUUCAACGGAUAGAACGAUCCCGUCCUAAGGGAUAAAUGCGGGUCCGAUUCCUGCCGAGGACACCA